rnacentral:rRNA from 1 species
GACGAACGCUGGCGGCGUGCUUAACACAUGCAAGUCGAACGGACAGGCCCUGCUUUUGUGGGUUGCUCGAGUGGCGAACGGGUGAGUAACACGUGAGUAACCUGCCCUUGACUUUCGGAUAACUUCAGGAAACUGCGGCUAAUACCCCAUAGGAGCUCCUGCUCCACGGUGGUGGUUGGUAAGUUUCGGCGGUUGUGGAUAGACUCGCGGCUUAUGCGCUUGUUGGUGGGGUAGUUGCUUACCAAGCCUGUGACGGGUAGCCGGCCUGGGAGGGUGGACGGGGACAUUGGGACUGAGAGAGGGACCAGUAUCGUACGUGAGGCAGCAGUGGAGAAUAUUGCACAAUGAGCGGAAGCCUGAUGCAGAAACGCCGCGUGCGGAAUGACGGCCUUCGGGGUAUAAACCGCUUUCGCCUGUGACGAAGAGGGAGUGACGGUAAUGGGUAAAGAAGCACCGGCUAACUACGUG